rnacentral:rRNA from 1 species
AUACGGAGGGUGCAAGCGUUAUUCGGAAUCACUGGGCGUAAAGGACGCGUAGGCGGGUUGGCAAGUCAGAUGUGAAAUCCUACAGCUUAACUGUAGAACUGCAUUUGAAACUGCUAACCUAGAGUAUGGGAGGGGGAGAUGGAAUUAGUGGUGUAGGGGUAAAAUCCGUGGAUAUCACUAGGAAUACCGAAAGCGAAGGCGAUCUCCUGGAACAUAACUGACGCUAAGGCGUGAAAGCGUGGGGAGCAAACAGGAUUAGAAACCCUAGUAGUCC